CUUUGGGAUAACCCUCGGAAACGGGGGCUAAUACCGAAUAUGACCGUUGCCCGCAUGGGUGGUGGUGGAAAGAUUUUUCGGCUGAGGUUGGACUCGCGGCCUAUCAGCUUGUUGGUGGGGUGAUGGCCUACCAAGGCGACGACGGGUAGCCGGCCUGAGAGGGCGACCGGCCACACUGGGACUGAGACACGGCCCAGACUCCUACGGGAGGCAGCAGUGGGGAAUAUUGCACAAUGGGCGGAAGCCUGAUGCAGCGACGCCGCGUGAGGGAUGAAGGCCUUCGGGUUGUAAACCUCUUUCAGCAGGGACGAAGCGUAAGUGACGGUACCUGCAGAAGAAGCGCCGGCCAACUACGUGCCAGCAGCCGCGGUAAGACGUAGGGCGCGAGCGUUGUCCGGAUUUAUUGGGCGUAAAGAGCUCGUAGGCGGCUUGUUGCGUCGACCGUGAAAACCCGGGGCUCAACUUCGGGCUUGCGGUCGAUACGGGCGGGCUAGAGUUCGGUAGGGGAGACUGGAAUUCCUGGUGUAGCGGUGAAAUGCGCAGAUAUCAGGAGGAACACCGGUGGCGAAGGCGGGUCUCUGGGCCGAUACUGACGCUGAGGAGCGAAAGCGUGGGGAGCGAACAGGAUUAGAUACCCUGGUAGUCCACGCUGUAAACGUUGGGCGC
rnacentral:rRNA from 1 species